rnacentral:tRNA from 1 species
UGGCUCAGUUGGUACAGUGCUUGCCUAGCAUGCAUGAAGCUCUGGGUUCUAUUCCCAG